rnacentral:rRNA from 1 species
GACGAACGCUGGCGGCGUGCUUAACACAUGCAAGUCGAACGGAGGAUUCAUUUUCCCGAAGUUUUCGGAUGGAGGGAGCGGAUCCUUAGUGGCGGACGGGUGAGUAACGCGUGAGCAACCUGUCCUGCAGAGGGGGACAACAACGGGAAACCGUUGCUAAUACCGCAUGAGACCACGGCCUCGCAUGGGGCCGGGGUAAAAGGAGAAAUCCGCUGCAGGAGGGGCUCGCGUCCCAUUAGAUAGUUGGCGGGGUAAAGGCCCACCAAGUCAGCGAUGGGUAGCCGGACUGAGAGGUUGAACGGCCACACUGGGACUGAGACACGGCCCAGACUCCUACGGGAGGCAGCAGUGGGGAAUAUUGGGCAAUGGGCGCAAGCCUGACCCAGCAACGCCGCGUGAAGGAAGAAGGUCUUCGGAUUGUAAACUUCUGUCAUUGGGGACGAAGGAAGUGACGGUACCCAAUGAGGAAGCCCCGGCUAACUACGUG